UGAUUAAUCCUCGGGUAUAAAACAACAACCUUACACCGCAGGUUCAACAACCUUACACCGCAGGUACACAACGUGGCAGUUUGGAUGAAGUUUGUUCUGCACCAGAUUGGGAUUAUAUUUCAAGAUAUAAGUUAAGUAUUUCUUUAUUAUUAAACUAUAAUAACCAAUGAUACCAGUAACUAUAAAUUCUAAUAUUUAUACUACAGUAUUACCAUUGGUAUUACAAUAUAUUUAGCAUUAUUUAUUAUACUAACAUUAUUUAUUUAAGGUAUUGUGCCUUGCGCAUAAACUUAGCGUAUUAGUUUCUCAUUCGAUUUUUAUUUCCGAAAUUGCGCGAACUUCCGUUACAACGAGUUUUAUUUUCCGCAAUUGCGCGACCUUUUAUUACAAUGUUACUACGUCAGUCGCCACGCUACGUCACAGAUUUAGCUUUCAUUGCGUCAUAAUUACUAUCGUUACGUCAAAAGUGGGUCGUGUCGUCGCCAUCUCGUUAUCGCUCCGUAUUAUUACGUCAUAGUUACGUCGAUCCUUGACAAACACAUGCGCGUUAGUGAAUUGACGUCACAAUGCGGUUUCUUCUGCGCGUGCGCAUCGCUGCGUUUUUAUCAUGGGGCCCCAUGUGCGUUCUGCGUCGACGCAAGGCAUAUUACUUGUACAUUAUAACUUUAUUUGCGCCAUGAGCGUGAAGCAAGAAGUUCAAAUGAUUGGUAAAGUAUAAUCACAAUUGACAUUAUUACGUACGUAAGCUCCUUUCCAGAAACCUCGAUGAUGUGACGUCACGAAGUGGUAAUGACGCAACAGAAUAACCCACUUCACUAUGGUACGUGACGUCACAAAGGAACAAUCUGAUCUUCACCCACAAAAGCAAGAACGAAGAAAAGUCGGCGAUAAAGCUGCAGAAGGAAAGCGCAAGACGAAGAACAAAGACGAAGACGCCAAUAAAGGAUAAAUGGUUUGGGGCAUGAAGUAUAUUAUUUGUGUGUUUUGUUUGUAUGUGUGAGCGUGUUAACUGGCGCACUAUUACAGUGUUGCCUUCUGAUAAGAAGUCCUUUGUCUGCUGGAUCUAAUGUUGCCAGCAUUUUUGUCAGUCACUACUAUAGUGCAUUUUGCAUUUUACUGAAAUAUAUGCAAUGAAACUAUGGCGAACAUCUUGCUGGAUCAGAAUUUGUUGUUGUACACUCUAUUGUGUACUUCGUCUACAAAGUUCGAAUCUUUCAACGAUUCUGUAUUGUUCUAAUCGCUUUGUGAGAACGCUGUGUUGGUACACAAAUACUCGAGUAAUGUCAACACUCAUUAUAAUAUGCGCAUAAAAUAAAUAGAUACCCUUUUAAUACUGUUCCAGUGGGACUAUUUUUUGUGUUAAAACGUCAUGUAGCGUGAUUGGGACGAUGGCCACGUCACAAUUACGCUACGAAGUCGAUACGAUGGGUCAGAGCGUUGUCCUGAUCCUGCGCGUUCGGUGCGGUUACGUCAGUUUUGAUUGAGUUACGUCACGGUCAGGUCGUUGCGUGGACGUCGCCGCCAGUGAUGCUACGCUAGAUAUUUAGGUCACUGUUAAUGCGGUUCGUGACAAUCUGGCGCAGUUCCGUAACGGUUGAUGCGGUGCGUAACAUCCGGACGCUAUUAUAUUGUGUGAAGAUACGACGAGAGUAUCGCGGUACCAACAUGGCGGCUUACCUUGUGAUUAGGACAUGCGGAGCCGUUGUUAUGUUCGACUCCUUGCGGUCGGACAUACAAUAUGGUGUACACUGCAUUUGAUUAUCUUUCAGGAUUUGAACCAUUUUUUGUUUGAAGAUAUUUCAAUAAUUAUGUUCGCUUUAAUUAGUUUUUGUAAUCUUCCAUUUUUGGUGAUGAUUGAGCUGCCGUUGUGUUUAUUGCAUGCUCUGCACUUUUUGUAUUUGCACACUGUUGUAUUAUUUUUGUCUCUUUGUCGUCGUGUACGUGUGUAUGUGCCUUCGUUGUAUCAUUUUUGUCUAUGGGGGUUUCUUUAACCUGCGUGGACAGUAACAUCCCGCAAGGGUUUCUCACCUAAGUAGAAACCCACUACCAUUGGUUGGGGGCUUGUCGUGCCGUAGUGGCUUACCACCAACGCCAGCCACAUAAACUAUGAAGGUAUUUUAAUCCUGUUCUAUUUUGCAGAAAGCCG